AUUGAACGCUGGCGGCAGGCCUAACACAUGCAAGUCGAGCGGAGCGGCGGACGGGUGAGUAAUGCCUAGGAAUCUGCCUGGUAGUGGGGGCUAACGUCCCGAAACGGGCGCUAAUCCCGCAUACUAUUUGAUGAGCCUAGGUCGGAUUAGCUAGUUGGUGGGGUAAAGGCCUACCAAGGCGACGAUCCGUAACUGGGCUGAGAGGAUGAUCAGUCACACUGGAAAUGAGACACGGUCCAGACUCCUACGGGAGGCAGCAGUGGGGAAUAUUGGACAAUGGGCGAAAGCCGGAUCCAGCCAUGCCGCGUGUGUGAAGAAGGUCUUCGGAUUGUAAAGCACUUUAAGUUGGGAGGCGUUACCAACAGAAUAAGCACCGGCUAACUUCGGGCCAGCAGCCGCGGUAAUUC
rnacentral:rRNA from 1 species